GGAGGAAUGGGUGAGCGGUUGAAACCGGCGGUCUUGAAAACCGCUGUACGGGGAACCGUACCGGGGGUUCGAAUCCCUCUUCCUCCGCUA
rnacentral:tRNA from 2 species